AAUGGUAGAGGUGCGGUGUUUAUCAGUAAUUCGGGCAUAUAACAAAGGCGUUAACCCGAAUGAAAGGAAAUAUCGCCGAAACAUACGGUAUUUGCCUUGAAAUCUGUGUGUUGGGCUGCAGCAGAAUAUGUUGCAGACUGUCACUUUUGUGAAGCGCUAUCC
rnacentral:ncRNA from 1 species